rnacentral:rRNA from 1 species
AACGAACGCUGGCGGCAGGCUUAACACAUGCAAGUCGAGCGCCCCGCAAGGGGAGCGGCAGACGGGUGAGUAACGCGGGGGAACGUACCCUUUGCUACGGAAUAGCUCCGGGAAACUGGAAUUAAUACCGUAUGUGCCCUACGGGGGAAAGAUUUAUCGGCAAAGGAUCGGCCCGCGUUGGAUUAGCUAGUUGGUGGGGUAAUGGCCUACCAAGGCGACGAUCCAUAGCUGGUCUGAGAGGAGGAUCAGCCACAUUGGGACUGAGACACGGCCCAAACUCCUACGGGAGGCAGCAGUGGGGAAUAUUGGACAAUGGGCGCAAGCCUGAUCCAGCCAUGCCGCGUGAGUGAUGAAGGCCUUAGGGUUGUAAAGCUCUUUCACCGGAGAAGAUAAUGACGGUAUCCGGAGAAGAAGCCCCGGCUAACUUCGUGCCAGCCGCCGCCGUAAUAC